UACGUAGGGUGCGAGCGUUAAUCGGAAUUACUGGGCGUAAAGCGUGCGCAGGCGGUUCGCCAAGUCAGGUGUGAAAUCCCCGGGCUUAACCUGGGAAUUGCGCUUGAAACUAGCGGGCUUGAGUGUGGCAGAGGGGGGUGGAAUUCCACGUGUAGCAGUGAAAUGCGUAGAGAUGUGGAGGAACACCAAUGGCGAAGGCAGCCUCCUGGGCCAACACUGACACUCAUGCACGAAAGCCAGGGGAGCAAACGGG
rnacentral:rRNA from 1 species